AACGAACGCUGGCGGCGUGGUUCAGGCAUGCAAGUCGAACGGUCCCGCAAGGGACAGUGGCAGAAGGGUUAGUAACACGUGGGUAAUCUACCCUGGACUCGGGGAUAACAUCUCGAAAGAGAUGCUAAUACCCGAUGACAUUUCCGGAUCGCAGGAUUUGGAAAUCAAAGGUGGCUCGCAAGAGCUGCCGAUCGAGGAGGAGCCCGCGGCCUAUCAGCUAGUUGGUGAGGUAACGGCCCACCAAGGCUUUUGACGGGUAAGCUGGUCUAAGAGGACGAUCAGCAACAUUGGGACUGAGACACUG
rnacentral:rRNA from 1 species